rnacentral:rRNA from 1 species
GUGCACCAGUCGCGAAAACUCCGCAAUACGCGAAAGCGUGACGGGGCCAUCCCGAGUGCCGUCCGCUGAGGAUGGCUUUUCCCCAGUGUAGAUAGCUGGGGGAAUAAGGAGAGGGCAAGUCUGGUGUCAGCCGCCGCGGUAAUACCAGCUCUCCGAGUGGUGUGGAUGUUUAUUGGGCUUAAAGCAUCCGUAGCUGGCUGAGCAAGUCCCCUGUUAAAUCCAGCGAUUCAAUCGUUGGCUUGCAGGGGAUGCUGUUCGGCUUGGAGGCGGGAGAGGCCGACGGUAUUCUCGGGGUAGGGGUGAAAUCCUAUAAUCCCGGGAAGACCACCA